AGUAGCUCAUCUCGCGCGGCACGGACGGUUUCUAUCAAGUGCGCUCAACGGUUGAAACUUCUGUAAAGAGAACCCUGUCCCACCCCAUAGAUUGAUGAAUAUAAGUGGAUGCUAUCUAAGGACUUCAACCCCUAAGCCAAAGUGACCUGAUGGAGAACCGUUACACCAUGGGAAUAAAAUGCUUGUUGUCACUCAGAAUAAACAAAGCCAGGAAGAUAAUGGUAACCACUCCCAUCAGAACCCAGGAGAAGAUGAUGCUGAAUCCAACACCGCUGUUGAAAGGACCGACAGGCUCUCAGUUUCAUGCUUCAGGCUACCGUGCUGAUUUUACCGGACUGGACAAUGUGUUACAUCUUGAGAACAUUGAGACCAACAUCACUGAGGUCUCCCAGAGGGCUGUUGGAUGUCUGAAUGUACCAUCAGAGUCUACUUUAACUGCCAAUGCCAUCUGCGACAAGCUGUCCACAAACUGCUCUCUGCCCAGCAAAAUGCAAGCCGGUCAGUCUGUAAAGUUGGCCCGACCCUUUAACCCUCAUGCACUGUAAGCAUCUGAGCUCCCACUGCACCGAGAACAUUCUGCUCUGCAAGAUGUGCAUGCAUAAUUUUUCAGAUGGCAGACAGAGGAUACCUGAGGUCCAGCCCAGAGGGGAGACGUGAUUGGCGGAGCGGAGAUCAGGUACCCUGUAAGUGGAUGAGAAAGAAGACAUUUUUUUCUAGAUAUUUUUGAAAGAGAAGAGGAAGAAGUUACAGUCAGGGAUAGGGUAAUGAGCUGUUUACGAGCAGCACUUCUCAACCUGUUACAGAAGAAGUGAAAGUGUUCUGGCUUGAGUGACAGGAAGUGAUUCAACCUGCCAACGUACACCCACCUGACUGCUCAGUUUCAAAGCAGCACAGAGUGAAAAUAAUGAAACACAGCCAGAAAAAAAGGCUGAGAUGGGACAUUAAGAAGCACAGUUGGUUCUUAUCAUGACUCCACUGCAUUAUGUUAAGAGAAAACACUGCAUAGCCCUUUUCACUUUCAGCAUACAGAGUUGAUUACAUUAGAAAAACCAACCAAACAGAAUAAUUCAUCAUAUUAGAGAGAAUCGAGCGAAGCAGCCUUGGAUAUUAACAAGGCCAUCCACAGAGACAACCAGCCCAGCUGCAGGCUAUCUGGCUACAACAAACUUCCAAUUCUUACUGGAGACAGAAAACUGAACUGACACUUUUACUAUACAGAAAUACUGUUUAAGUACAGCUUUAAAAAGAAUUUUAGACCUGAUUGAGGCAGUGAACAAAACAUUGUAGGCCAACUGGAUACUAGAGAGCAUCAGGUUUACAUUACCUUCAGUUCGGCCUGUAUAAGUCAGUGGGGAGAAAUUCAUAAUAAGUCAUGCAUGUUUAUGAUUGUCAAUAAAUAAACAAGUUUACACAUCUCUCACUUCCCUUGUUAUUUCUUUUCCUGGUUCAGUUUAACUUUGAUAUAUUUGCUCAUGCCAAGAUCAGACAAGACAAUAUUUUUGUCUCUUGAGAUGUGUCAGAUAAAGUCAUACUUUUUCACUGUGACUUGCUCUAGAGACACUGCAGAAUAUAGAUUGGACCAAGGCCAAAUAAAGUUUGCAGUUUUUCCACAACUUUGACAACACUGUAAAUCAGUCAGGUAAUAAGAAGCAAAUUCACUGUUCCAUGUGGCCACAACAACAAUAUCAUCUUAUGAUUCAUCAUUUAACAACAUCACAAAAGUCAUAGAAGCAGUCCAAUUAGCCAAAAAAGAAAGCAAAAUAAAUCUAUAAGUCCAAACCGAGCUUGAGAAAAUCCCAAUGCCUUAUGUUUGUAGAAUCAGCCUACAUCCUGUACAUCUGAUCCCAAAUCAACUGCCACAAACAACUAGAUCAAUAGCCAAGCCCGAGGACCAAGAAAAAUAGCAAAAAAGUGAGUCAAGUUUUCAGACUUGAAGGGGGCAUCCACAUUACUUUACCAGUCUGUAACUAAUUUUUCUGAUCCAUGUAUAAACAGAGGUAAAAGGAUCUUAACUACUAGGAAUAUGACACCAAAAACUUUUUUUAUCAGGUUUUGUUACCCCCAAGUGACCAUUAAUUAAUGCAGGAUUAUUAGCAGAAGUUAUUUUUUGGAGUUUUCUUCUGAAUUAUGUUAGUUACUUGGUUAGUUGUUUUUCUUUUAAUUACACCCUUUUGUCUGGGCUUCAUCAUUUACAUGUGUAAAUACACUGUUGUGGAGUCCUUGAGGCUGCACAUGAUAAAGGGUUUAGCAGAAAUGUUAUU